rnacentral:misc_RNA from 1 species
CGCGAUAUUUCAUCCGCUCAGCCUGGAAAGAAAAUCCCGCCGUCCUCAUCUCCUCGCCGUGAGCUAUGCAGGACACUGCAAAUUCUUCUCUCUCUCCCUCACGUCUUCCUCCCAUGGCGCGCAGCUCUCUCUGCUCCUGCUCCCUCAUGGCGUCUCCAGCUCCUUCCCAUGGCCGGCGCUCGUCCCAACGCCGAGCUCGGCCUUGCCAUCUCCCAACGCUCCGCCACCCGGAGUCCUGCCCCGACGCGUGUGCUCCUCUGCUCGCCGCGCCCCUGCGAGCUUCCUCCAUCGGCCAUGGACGCCGGUGAGCUUAUCCCCUGGUGCCGCGACCUCGCCAUGGAGUUUCAAGCGCUUUUCUUCCCUGCUGCGCAGCUCCCUCGGCGUCCCUCCCGUGCUCGCGCCCAGCCCGGUUUCCAGAGCCCUCCCUGUCGUAGCUCGCACCCGUCGUCCUGCCUGCUCGAGCUCGCCCCGGCCUCCUGCUCCUUCACGACGUCCUUGGCUGCGUUUUAGCGAGAUUUCAGAGGAGAAAUCCAUGUGGACUAGUGAAAAGAAGCAGGCCCAGUACAGCGUCCGCUAGAUGUUCAACGAAACGCCGAAACCAAUAAUCAUCAUCGUCUCCGACUUCCGCAGCAGCAGCGUCGUUCUCUCCAUGGUGCUCGUCGUCGACUUCGCCCUCACAUCAUCAUGGCUUGACGGUCGCCUAAGCUCGUGCUUGCUCAUCUACUCGUCCUCGCCAUGGACAUGCGUCUCCGCAUGCUGAUGUGCCCAGACCAUCAAUUUCGCCCUUGUCAUUACAAGCGUCACCGGCGUCCGCGGAUAGGUGAGUAGGUGGGUGUUCAAAAUAUAUGGUGUGAUCGACGCCGUUUUAGUAUUGUGUGAUGAUUUACAUCUUUCAUGUGUUCAUGCGUUUGAAUCGUAAUAUACGAUUAGUGAGGAAAGCUAGAUGAUGUAGGCCGUGAAGGUUCGUGCAGCGUCCGUUUAGUGUUCGGCAAAACGCCCGAACCAUGAUUCAUCGUCGAUUUGCGAUUUUCAAAUCGUUUUGGUCAUGGUAAGCAGAUGGGUUAUUCGUGAUAAUUAGAUCGUUAAAUAAAUUAAUGGGUUAGUGCGAUGAUCCUUUUAUUUAGUUUAUGUGCGCUUGAUAGCUAUGUCUAGAUCCGUUGUCGUGUCGGUGUGCUAUUGUAUGGUGAAAAUAGCUUUAGCGCAGCACUCCUUGGAUGUUCUGU